GCAGCGGAAUAAAUCAUUGAGGCGUAUGUAAGGGUUACUUCGACUUCUAAUCGGCUUGUCGUUGGUUCGAGUCCAACUCUCGCUGUA
rnacentral:tRNA from 1 species